CCUACGGGUGGCAGCAGUGAGGAAUAUUGGUCAAUGGACGAGAGUCUGAACCAGCCAAGUAGCGUGAAGGAUGACUGCCCUAUGGGUUGUAAACUUCUUUUAUAGGGGAAUAAAAUGUUCCAGGUGUGGGAUUUUGUAUGUACCAUAUGAAUAAGGAUCGGCUAACUCCGUGCCAGCAGCCGCGGUAAUACGGAGGAUCCGAGCGUUAGCCGGAUUUAUUGGGUUUAAAGGGAGCGUAGGUGGAUUGUUAAGUCAGUUGUUAAAGUUUGCGGCUCAACCGUAAAAUUGCAGUUGAAACUGGCAGUCUUGAGUACAGUCUAGGUGGGCGGUCUUCGUGGUGUAGCGGU
rnacentral:rRNA from 1 species